rnacentral:lncRNA from 1 species
GACAAGUUCGAGCAUCUUAAAAUGAUUCAACAGGAGGAGAUAAGGAAGCUCGAGGAAGAGAAAAAAAAACUGGAAGGAGAAAUCAUAGAUUUUUAUAAAAUGAAAGCUGCCUCUGAAGCACUGCAGACUCAGCUGAGCACCGAUACAAAGAAAGACAAACAUCCUGAUCCAUAUGAAUUCCUCUUAUUAAGAAAAAUAAAGCAUCCAGGAUUCAAUGAAGAACUGACUAUCACCUUGUUAAUCAUUCAGAAACAUGUUGCAGGCUUAAGCCAUUUUUGAUAUAGAUACUGAAACAAUUACUUGCUAAGAGCAAACUUGAAGGUAUGGAUAAGGCCCUGAGUCAUCUUCCUGAGCUGAAUGAUAGUUAAGCUGAAUUAACAAUUUGGACAAGACAGCAAAUGCUAUUGUCCAAGUUUUCUAAAGAAGAAUCUGAAGUGAAAUGACAUCAAGAGACCUAUCAAGACCUGUAUCCAGGAAAAGACCAAACCAAU